rnacentral:lncRNA from 1 species
CGGGGCACUGGGGAUACAGCGGGGAAGAAAGCAGCCAGAGUUCGAGUUCUCGGCCUCCAGCGGAGCGGAAGGACAGGCCGUCGUCCAUCACACAGCAAGAGUGGUUUUCCAGCUGCAGUGAGGGCAAUGGCGGAAAAGCACAGGCAAGAAGGCAACCACGGCCCAAUUCGUACACGCAGAUUGUAGAAGGAUUCAAUUGAGUUCUCCAGGGGAGGGAAACUGAGUCUGAGAGAGAAGAGGGUCGACCCCACUCACGAGGUAAGAUCUAGAAAGGCUGUCAGGCAAUACACAGGGCUCCCAGGGAAAUGCAUUUUCACAUGAACAACAAAUAAUGUUUUAGAAUAAGCGUGGUAGGCAG